rfam:Giardia intestinalis ribonuclease P RNA subunit gene, partial sequence.
AGGAAUUAGGAGGGGCGCCACCGACCGCGGUCGGGGGAAGGUCUGAGGUCAUUUUCCGUGAGGGAGGCGCGCCAACGCGUGCAGCAGUCGCACCAGAAACCAAGAGCCUCUGUGCUUAUGCCAGGAGGAGGGCCUUGCCCGACUGAGAGUGCUCGCUGAAAGAGGCUGCGACGCGGGUUAUUCAGUUCGAUGCGCCCAGGCUGACGGUAGGACGCCUAACCCGAUUCAGACUACUCCUUGGUUCCU